rnacentral:lncRNA from 1 species
AGCAAUGUCACUCCCACAGUCCCCAACCCCUCAAGUCCUGCUCUAUUCCAGGCAAGUCCUGGCCAGGGGGCUGUGGGAAGAAGAGGCAUCAGGAACAAAAGUCUCUUUCCCUUAGCCCAAUCCUGUUGUGCCUUAGGAGGGGACAGAGACUAGAGAACCAAGGUGAGUCAGAGAAAGGGCUCCUUCAGCCUGCAGCAGCCCCACCCCAAACCCCAUCCUAAGGCCAAAUCAAAUCCUAAGGCAGCUUUAACCUCACAUGGAAUCCCAGACCCAACCCCAAUCAUAAACCCAGCCCAGCCACACCUCCAACCUCAACUGCAAAUCAACUCAGUCCCAACUCUACAAGGAGGCUUAACCUAAACUCAGCAACCUCCACAUCAGGAACAUUCUCCACAUCAGACCAAUCCUAACUGGGCCCCCAAUUCCAAACCUAAGCCUAGCACUGCCCUGUUCCCAGUCUAACCCUGACCCUAAUCCAAAUCCCAGUUCAAACCCCAAGAUGGACUCCCAUCCCCAACUGCUACAACAGUCCACCCCAUUAUAACAGCCCCAGGGCCGACCCCUCACCUAAAGCUGAUGUUCCUUAAUCCCACUCAGGUCCACCCAGCCCCCAGCAAUCCCAGCAUGGCCUGAGUGUUCCUGAUGCUCAUCCCUUUCCAGCACCCCUUUUAGUCCCAGAGGGAUCACUGGCCUCGCCUCCAACCCAACUCCUUCCAGACCUCUACCCGGUGGGGUGGGAGACCUCUGCAGGAACACACGUGCACACCCACACACCUUAGCACAUGAAGAAGUACAUGUUAACACACACAGACACAUAAACUUACACACACACCCCCAAAGCAUGCUCAAAUACAUACACCUUGGCACACACACACAUCCCAAUAUAAACACACACACUCCCUCAUAUACAAAGACACACCUCAGCAUACAUAUGCACACACCCCAGCAUAUGCACAAAUGUAACAUAAACUCUGUGAUACACACAUCUACAUACGCACACACCUUUCAGAGUACACACACACAUCUUGGCAUGCACAACACAUUCCUCAGUGCAAAUGCAUGCACCUGGGUGUACACAGACACACACACCAGCAAGGGGAGUGAAGUCCAGUCUGAGGUGGAUCAAAUGCUUCCUGCCCCUCCCUGAGGCCUGGGCCCCUUUGUAGUUCCCUCCUCCAGGGGCUCUGCAC